rnacentral:rRNA from 1 species
AUUGAACGCUGGCGGCAUGCUUUACACAUGCAAGUCGAACGGCAGCGGGGAGGAGCUUGCUUCUCUGCCGGCGAGUGGCGAACGGGUGAGUAAUACAUCGGAACGUGUCGAGAAGAGGGGGAUAACCACCCGAAAGGGUGGCUAAUACCGCAUAAAUUCUGAGGAAGAAAGCUGGGGACCUAGGAAUAGGCCUAGCGCUUUUUGAGCGGCCGAUGUCGGAUUAGCUAGUUGGUGAGGUAAAGGCUCACCAAGGCGAAGAUCUGUAGCGGGUCUGAGAGGAUGAUCCGCCACACUGGGACUGAGACACGGCCCAGACUCCUACGGGAGGCAGCAGUGGGGAAUUUUGGACAAUGGGGGCAACCCUGAUCCAGCCAUGCCGCGUGUAUGAAAAAGGCCUUAGGGUUGUAAAGUACUUUUGUUAGGGAAGAAAAGUCAGCUGUGAAUAAUGGCUGAUACUGACGGUACCUAAAGAAUAAGCACCGGCUAACUACGUG